rnacentral:rRNA from 1 species
GAGCGGAAGGCCCUUCGGGGUACUCGAGCGGCGAACGGGUGAGUAACACGUGAGCAACCUGCCCUAGGCUUUGGGAUAACCCCGGGAAACCGGGGCUAAUACCGAAUAUGACCUCUGACCGCAUGGUUGGUGGUGGAAAGUUUUUCGGCCUGGGAUGGGCUCGCGGCCUAUCAGCUUGUUGGUGGGGUGAUGGCCUACCAAGGCGACGACGGGUAGCCGGCCUGAGAGGGCGACCGGCCACACUGGGACUGAGACACGGCCCAGACUCCUACGGGAGGCAGCAGUGGGGAAUAUUGCACAAUGGGCGGAAGCCUGAUGCAGCGACGCCGCGUGAGGGAUGACGGCCUUCGGGUUGUAAACCUCUUUCAGCAGGGACGAAGCGAAAGUGACGGUACCUGCAGAAGAAGCGCCGGCCAACUACGUGCCAGCAGCCGCGGUAAGACGUAGGGCGCGAGCGUUGUCCGGAUUUAUUGGGCGUAAAGAGCUCGUAGGCGGCUUGUCGCGUCGACUGUGAAAACCCGCAGCUCAACUGCGGGCCUGCAGUCGAUACGGGCAGGCUAGAGUUCGGUAGGGGAGACUGGAAUUCCUGGUGUAGCGGUGAAAUGCGCAGAUAUCACGAGGAACACCGGUGGCGAAAGGCGAGUCUCUGGGGCCGAUACUGACGCUGAGGAGCGAAAGCGUGGGG